rnacentral:hammerhead_ribozyme from 1 species
AUCUAGCUGAUGAGUUCUAAAUAGGAUGAAACGCGCAUCCUGGAU